GGCCUUAUUGGCACGUCAUCGAGGUACGCCCCACCAUCAAGUUUCGGACGCCUACUUUACAACUGCCGAAACGCCUGGUCCUCCGCCGGAAACGGCAAGGAAAUCGGGACACGUCAAGUUCUUUUCCACUUCGGCACUUUCGCUAAACAUGAGAUGCGCCGCGAAGACGAGAAAUCGUUCCAUCAAAACAGCGCGCACGCCCGGUGGCCAAACGUGUCGUCGAACCACAACAAACGGCUCGGCUUGGCUUGCGACUCGGGCGCCGCCCCGCUCCGUCUUCACACGCGGCCGACGCUCCACCGCUCAAGCCCCUCCGAAGUUUGCCGCCGCCGCAAGAGAGUGCGUGCCGGAAAUAUCAGGGUUGGAUCGACGUCAGGUCGCUAUUGCGCCAGUGGUUCUUCCCUCGGCAGUGCGGUAGCAGCAGGCACCGGGAAAAAAAAUAAAGGCGCGACCUUUGUUUGCGCAAGCACGUGGCCGCGAUUCCGCUCUGGGCGGCGCGAAAGUAAGCGUCGUCGUAUAGUCGUCAUCGUCUGAACCAGAACGAAUCCUCGAAACCGAUUUCCGCGCGCGCGCGCGCUCGCUCGCGAGCACAGCGGCCGGGUUGCGUCACCGCGCCGGCAUGAUCCGGAGCUCUUGACCAAUGGGAGCCGCGGUGCAAGUGGGCCACCGGUCGGCGACACACAUCGGCGGCGCCAACAAGAGCCCCCACUGGUGGGCGCCGGCCGUCAGCUGAGCCGCAGUCUUCCUUCCGACCACAACAACCUUUCCGUUCGACAGAUAUGAAAGCGGCCGUGGCGCUGCUGGCGGCCUGCUGCCUAGCAGCCUGCUGUGAUGCGGGACACAUCAUUCCGUGGCUACACAUCAGCAAGAGCAUAUUUGUCAAGCCGGUCAAGUACGUGUACAAGGAGAUUCCGAUCUACAAGACCAUCCCGGUGUACAAGACCAUCCCCGUGUACAAAACCAUUCCCGUAGUGAAAGAGAUCAAGGUGAUCAAGGAGGUGCACAAGGACGAGUGGCAGGACGAGCACAAGGACGAGUGGCAGGACGAGCACCCCACGUACUCCGACGGCUGGAAGGGCCAGUCGGGAGGCGGCGGCGGCGGAGGCGGCUGGGCCUCGCCCGGAGGCUGGGAGUCCUCCGGUCCGUGGGAGUCCAAGCCGUGGGAGUCCAAGCCCUGGGAGUCUAAGCCGUGGGACUCGGGAGUCUACGAACUGGCGGAGCACCACGUGCACAAGGAGCCAGAGCACGACCACAAGCACGAGGAGCCGGAGCACGAGCACGGGCACGAGGAGGAGCACCACGUAGUCAAGCACGUCUCGCUGCGAGACCUGCUGCCCAAGUGGAUCAGCCUCACCAUCGGGGUCCACAAGGACUGAGGAACCUCGUGUCGCGCAUCUCGCAAUCCAGUCGGAACCUUCUGGCAGCUCUAUAGGCCACGGCCAGCCUUUCAGAUACGCCUGGAAGGAUUCUAGACACAGUCACAUGACGCAUCGACGUGGACGCGCCUCAACAGUGCUGCAGAAGAAGUCGCACCUCCGGUAACCGGAGACCAAAGAAUUUGGGAGGACCUCGAGCCGCGACCCACCUCGGCGAGGCAGACUUGAAGUUUGAAUUCUUCGCAGUGGUGUGCACGGUGUACCCUGAAACUUUCGGGUGUCUACCGGACGCCCCGAGUCGCCACGGCCAAAUAGAGACUCGACGAAAACGCGAAUCCGCGGCGUAAUACCGCCCACCCCAGCCGCAUCCAGUCACAAAGGACCCCAAGCGGCAUCAGAGGACUGCGAACCGAUGACAACUUAUUCACAACAGCCAAAUAUUGAGUCAGCGCUUAGUCUGCGUCGUGUUAACUUUGAGUCUUGCGUCGAAACUUCCUUUCUUUUCGCGUUGCGUAUGAAAUACGCACACACUGCCAAAUCCUGCUACGCAAUGGCCAGACACCAGGAAACAGUGAGGAACGAAUGCU
rnacentral:misc_RNA from 1 species